CACCAAGAGUUACAAAUGUAAACUACGGACUUUAGUUAAAAAUAAUCUGUUGCAGCAGGCAUGGCGACAGCAGACAGCCCCACGAUGCCGGUGCCGUGAAGCAUGGGGAAGGAAGAGUGUCACAGAAGUAGCGCCUACCAGGUAUUGGGUGUUUAUUCUGUGACACACAUUGAGAUAAAUUCUUGAACAUGCUAAAAAAAUUCUCAUUUAAUCUCACAUAGCAACUCUAGGCAGUAGGUGCUAUUAUGAACCACAUUUUAUAAAUGAGUAUGUUGGAUUCAUAGAUAUGAAUGUAUUUGCCAGAGUUCACCCAACUAUAGU
rnacentral:lncRNA from 1 species